GCGUGCGGUAUAAGUUUAACCUGCCCGCCACUUUUACGGCCUCGUUUUAUAUGGGACUGCAUGUAAAUUGCAAUUGCGCCGGUAUCGUUAUCCCUCAACCCAUUAAGGACCGAGCCAGCGAAACAAUGCGAUUCUUACACAACUCUGGAUAGCUGGUUUUUGGCCGGAGGAACAUGACUGGCAUCGUCAUGGUGGUCUUCGUACGGAAACACGAGAGGAAAAAGAUGUUACUCGCUUGAUGAAGGAGGUAUCCCAAGAUGGCACACUAACUUAUAACAACAUAGAAGAGGUCUCACGAUCGAUCACACGAUGAAGCAGUUAAGAUAAAUUCCUCCGCGUCGGUCGCGGUCGUAAAUUCCUCGGACACGACUUUUGGAUCAGCCUGUAGGUAUCGGGACAGGGGAAUAGAGGGCGGAAUAUGAUGCGGUCUAUCCAGAUAUGUGAACGACGCAGAUAU